rnacentral:rRNA from 1 species
GACGUAGGGUGCGAGCGUUGUUCGGAAUUACUGGGCGUAAAGGGCUCGUAGGCGGCCAACUAAGUCAUACGUGAAAUCCCUCGGCUUAACCGGGGAACUGCGUCUGAUACUGGAUGGCUUGAGUUCGGGAGAGGGAUGCGGAAUUCCAGGUGUAGCGGUGAAAAUGCGUAGAUAUCUGGAGGAACACCGGUGGCGAAGGCGGCAUCCUGGACCGAUACUGACGCUGAGGAGCGAAAAGCCAGGGGGAGCAAACGGG